AUGCCCUUGCCCGGAUCCUCGUCGCCUCCCCGCCAUGGCGCCCGCACCGGCGACCUCGCAAGUCGCUGCCUCGCACCAUGUUCAUAUUCCCAGAGUUCAUCUUCCCAGAGUCCCAGCGCCCAAUCCCCUCCAAGCCGCCGGCGACGACCGAGCCUCCCCCGGCGCGCCCCUGCACCGGUCCCUGCUGCGCCCCUGCAUCGAGCAGCCAGAGCCGCGUCGCCGGAUCCUGUUCGCUGCUACUUCGUCCGCCGUCCCCGGCCUCUAGCCUUCACGCAUCGUCUCUGCAUCCGGGUGGUUGUAGUGCCUUCUUCCCCUCCGCUGCUUGUGCUCUUUCCUCGCGCGUGA
rnacentral:rRNA from 1 species